AGUUUGAUCAUGGCUCAGAUUGAACGCUGGCGGCAUGCUUUACACAUGCAAGUCGAACGGCAGCACGAGUGCUUGCACUUGGUGGCGAGUGGCGAACGGGUGAGUAAUACAUCGGAACGUGUCCUAAAGAGGGGGAUAACGCAUCGAAAGAUGUGCUAAUACCGCAUAAUCUCUUUGGAGAAAAGUAGGGGAUCGAAAGACCUUACGCUUUUGGAGCGGCCGAUGUCUGAUUAGCUAGUUGGUGGGGUAAAGGCUUACCAAGGCAACGAUCAGUAGUUGGUCUGAGAGGAUGGCCAACCACACUGGGACUGAGACACGGCCCAGACUCCUACGGGAGGCAGCAGUGGGGAAUUUUGGACAAUGGGGGAAACCCUGAUCCAGCAAUGCCGCGUGAGUGAAGAAGGCCUUCGGGUUGUAAAGCUCUUUCAGUUGAGAAGAAAAGGCUGUGACUAAUAAUCAUAACUAAUGACGGUAUCAACAGAAGAAGCACCGGCUAACUACGUG
rnacentral:rRNA from 1 species